UACGUAGGGUGCGAGCGUUAAUCGGAAUUACUGGGCGUAAAGCGUGCGCAGGCGGCGCCGCAAGUCAGGCGUGAAAUCCCCGAGCUUAACUUGGGAAUGGCACUUGAAACUACGGUGCUGGAGUGUGGCAGAGGGAGGUGGAAUUCCACGUGUAGCGGUGAAAUGCGUAGAGAUGUGGAGGAACACCAGUGGCGAAGGCGGCUUUCUGGUCUGUAACUGACGCUGAGGCGCGAAAGCGUGGGGAGCAAACAGG
rnacentral:rRNA from 1 species